rnacentral:lncRNA from 1 species
CACUGGUUGGCGUCAGGGCCCUGGACCUCCGUGGUCUCUUCAAUAAUAUGCAUAGUACCACCAAGAUCCCAGGAUCAAUUCUAAAGCUUAAAACACAAAGCUUAAAACAAUCACUCGUUUAUUCAACACACAUUAUUGAGUCGCUUCAGUAUGCACGUGGCUUUUCCAGGGCACCGGGGAAGCGGAAGGUAACAGACCAGAGUGUAGGUGCCGUUGGCCUGUGCGCCCCGGGAGGGUAGCUCCGAGCUGUCUCGGUGCUCAAUGGGUCCCGAGCACGGCGCAGGGCACACUGCAGGCGCUCUGCAAGUGUUCCCUGAAGGAAUGCGCGAAUCGAAGUGUCACGCCCGCAAGGCGUACACGGCCCGGCAAGGCGGAAACAGACCCAACACCACCGAGGCGUCCCGGGGCUUCUGGGAAUCCCAUCUGCGCGGCCCGCGAGGCCUCGAGGAGGCGGUAAGACAGGUCGGACCCGCGUCCCCGGUGCCGUCCCCGGUGCCCUCCCCGGGGCCGUAGCAGGUCAAAAGGCCGACUGAGGUGAGUGAGCAAGCCGCGUUCGGGGUCCCGGCGAGGAGCCCCAGCACAUCCUCUGCCCCCGCGCCUUGCACCCUUUUAACUCCGACUCCCGGCUCCUUCGCGAUUCCACCUACGGGGCCUCCCAUAUCCUCCAUCCUCGUCUCCCGCUACCUUUUCGAACCAUCGGCGUUGCCCCUGCUCGCGUCCUCCCGCCCGGCGACCGUUCCCCGAGUCGGGGCGCCCCCUCCCCAGCCGGCCCAGCCGAGCCCGAGGUCCGGGAGCGCCAAUCCCUUUAGCCUCUCCCUCUAAUCCGGAGCAUCGCUCGAUGCUGUCGGUCGACUCCACCGGAGCCUGGGAAAGCGCGCCCCCGAACCCCCGGGACUCCGGCUGGGGAGGGGGCGGCGCCGGCGCGGAGGUCACCCUCCCGGGGCGUCCGCAGUCUCCCAUUCGCUCGCAGGCCCGCCGCUCCGCGCCCAAAGCCCGAGCUGGUUCGCCAAGUCGCGGGGCGGGGCCUCCCCCAAGCCCGUCCCCCGGUGAGGGCGGAGGGAGGAGGAGGAAAGGGGGGGGCGGAACACAAAACCUGCAAGGUUUUUUUUUUUUUCCUUUUGCAUUUAAUUAAAAAAAAAAAAUUUUUUUUUUUUUUUGCAAACCCGAGGGGUCCCGCCCGGAGCGGGCGCGAGUCCGGGGCGCCCGGGCCGCGGCGCGGGGCGGCGGCAGGGGCCUGGCGGAGGCCGCCGGGCGGCCGCCAUGCGAUCAGGCAGUGCGCUGACCGGCCCGGCCGGUCGGCCCCUUCUGGGUCCUCCCUUUGCAGCCCGUGCGGGGCCGUCUCGGAGACCCCGCGCCGACGGCUGCUCAAACAUCAGGCUGGCCCCCGAAAGGACACUCCCCAAGUCCCCAGCUGGGGGCCCCGCGUAGACCUGGAGUGGACACCCCCUCCUUCCCUUCAUGAUUCGUUUGUAGCGCAGGUAACCAGCCAAGCGUCAGUUCAUUCCCAGAGGGGCUGUGGUCCCCCACCUCCUCCAUCCACCUGCCUGGAAGGGACAGUCCUCCUUGACUUAGCUGCAACCUUCAGCCCCACCCUUUCCAACCUGGGGCCCCGGGGUCAUUUGGGCCAGCCCCCUGCCUCCUCGCCAUCUACAGGCAAGGCAGGAUCUCCCUCCCACAUCCCCCUCUUCUCCACGUGCUCUGCAGAUCUUGCCAGGUUGCUCCCUGGCCAGGCCUUGCCCACUGUGGGCUGGUUGGGAAGGGCAGGGGCUCGUCGCCCACGGAGCUGGUGA